rnacentral:tRNA from 1 species
UCUCGAUUGGUCUAGUGGUCAGGAUACCUGCUUGUCAUUGUCAUUCACGAACUAAGAAUUCACGAUAGUGGACCGUAGUGAUCGUGAAAACAAGCCGCAGGUGGCCGGGGUUCGAUUCCCCGAUCGAGAG